rnacentral:rRNA from 1 species
GAUGAACGCUAGCGGUAUGCUUAACACAUGCAAGUCGAACGAGACCUUCGGGUCUAGUGGCGCACGGGUGCGUAACGCGUGGGAACCUGCCUUUAGGUUCGGAAUAACUCAGAGAAAUUUGAGCUAAUACCGGAUAAUGUCUUCGGACCAAAGAUUUAUCGCCUUUAGAUGGGGCCCGCGUUGGAUUAGCUAGUUGGUGGGGUAAAGCCUACCAAGGCGACGAUCCAUAGCUGGUCUGAGAGGAUGAUCAGCCACACUGGGACUGAGACACGGCCCAGACUCCUACGGGAGGCAGCAGUGGGGAAUAUUGGACAAUGGGCGAAAGCCUGAUCCAGCAAUGCCGCGUGAGUGAUGAAGGCCUUAGGGUUGUAAAGCUCUUUUACCCGAGAUGAUAAUGACAGUAUCGGGAGAAUAAGCUCCGGCUAACUCCUGCCAGCAGCCGCGGUAAAGUGACUACUG